CCUAUACAUGCAGUCGAACGAACUCUGGUAUUGAUUGGUGCUUGCAUCAUGAUUUACAUUUGAGUGAGUGGCGAACUGGUGAGUAACACGUGGGAAACCUGCCCAGAAGCGGGGGAUAACACCUGGAAACAGAUGCUAAUACCGCAUAACAACUUGGACCGCAUGGUCCGAGCUUGAAAGAUGGCUUCGGCUAUCACUUUUGGAUGGUCCCGCGGCGUAUUAGCUAGAUGGUGGGGUAACGGCUCACCAUGGCAAUGAUACGUAGCCGACCUGAGAGGGUAAUCGGCCACAUUGGGACUGAGACACGGCCCAAACUCCUACGGGAGGCAGCAGUAGGGAAUCUUCCACAAUGGACGAAAGUCUGAUGGAGCAACGCCGCGUGAGUGAAGAAGGGUUUCGGCUCGUAAAACUCUGUUGUUAAAGAAGAACAUAUCUGAGAGUAACUGUUCAGGUAUUGACGGUAUUUAACCAGAAAGCCACGGCUAACUACGUGCCAGCAGCCGCGGUAAUACGUAGGUGGCAAGCGUUGUCCGGAUUUAUUGGGCGUAAAGCGAGCGCAGGCGGUUUUUUAAGUCUGAUGUGAAAGCCUUCGGCUCAACCGAAGAAGUGCAUCGGAAACUGGGAAACUUGAGUGCAGAAGAGGACAGUGGAACUCCAUGUGUAGCGGUGAAAUGCGUAGAUAUAUGGAAGAACACCAGUGGCGAAGGCGGCUGUCUGGUCUGUAACUGACGCUGAGGCUCGAAAGUAUGGGUAGCAAACAGGAUUAGAUACCCUGGUAGUCCAUACCGUAAACGAUGAAUGCUAAGUGUUGGAGGGUUUCCGCCCUUCAGUGCUGCAGCUAACGCAUUAAGCAUUCCGCCUGGGGAGUACGGCCGCAAGGCUGAAACUCAAAGGAAUUGACGGGGGCCCGCACAAGCGGUGGAGCAUGUGGUUUAAUUCGAAGCUACGCGAAGAACCUUACCAGGUCUUGACAUACUAUGCAAAUCUAAGAGAUUAGACGUUCCCUUCGGGGACAUGGAUACAGGUGGGUGCAUGGUUGUCGUCAGCUCGUGUCGUGAGAUGUUGGGGUUAAGUCCCGCAACGAGCGCAACCCUUAUUAUCAGUUGCCAGCAUUAAGUUGGGCACUCUUGGUGAGACUGCCGGUGACAAACCGGAGGAAAGGGUGGGGGAUGAAGUUCAAAUCAUCAUGGCCCCUUAUGACCUGGGGCUAACACCCUUGCUUAAAAUGGGAUUGUUCCAACCAAGUUUCCGAACUCCGCGGAGGUAAACCUAAUCUCUUUAAAGCCCUCUUUCCCUUUCCGGAUUUG
rnacentral:rRNA from 2 species